rnacentral:rRNA from 1 species
UACAUGGGGUGCAAACGUUGCUCGGAAUUAUUGGGCGUAAAGCGCACGUAGGCGGUUUGUUAAGUCGGAUGUGAAAUCCCUCGGCUCAACUGAGGAAGUGCAUCCGAAACUGGCAAGCUUGAGUGCGAAAGAGGGUCGCGGAAUUCCCGGUGUAGAGGUGAAAUUCGUAGAUAUCGGGAGGAACACCGGUGGCGAAGGCGGCGACCUGGGUCGAUACUGACGCUGAGGUGCGAAAGCGUGGGGAGCAAACAGG